GACGAACGCUGGCGGCGUGCUUAACACAUGCAAGUCGAACGGAAAGGCCCUGCUUUUGUGGGGUGCUCGAGUGGCGAAAGGGUGAGUAACACGUGAGUAACCUGCCCUUGACUUUGGGAUAACUUCAGGAAACUGGGGCUAAUACCGGAUAGGAGCUCCUGCUUCAUGGUGGGGGUUGGAAAGUUUCGGCGGUUGGGGAUGGACUCGCGGCUUAUCAGCUUGUUGGUGGGGUAGUGGCUUACCAAGGCUUUGACGGGUAGCCGGCCUGAGAGGGUGACCGGCCACAUUGGGACUGAGAUACGGCCCAGACUCCUACGGGAGGCAGCAGUGGGGAAUAUUGCACAAUGGGCGGAAGCCUGAUGCAGCAACGCCGCGUGCGGGAUGACGGCCUUCGGGUUGUAAACCGCUUUCGCCUGUGACGAAGCGUGAGUGACGGUAAUGGGUAAAGAAGCACCGGCUAACUACGUG
rnacentral:rRNA from 1 species